GUCUUGGAUUUCACAGAUUCUGAAGAAAAUGAAGAGAAAGCCUCUGAAUACAGAGGAUCUGAAAUUGUUGAAGUUGUUCUUGCAGCACAGUCCUCACCUAUAAACUGUGAGGAGAGCAAAGUUGUUACCCUUUGGGGGACUGAAUAAUCUCGACAAUACUUGUUAUCUUAAUAGUAUACUUCAGGUAUUAUAUUUUUGUCCUGGUUUUAAAUCUAGAGUGAAGCAUUUAGUGAAUAUUAUUUCAAAGAAGAUAGAAGCUCUAAAGGAUGAAACCAAUCAAAAAUAUAAGGGAAGUUGCAAAGAAGUUUAUUUGGCAAGUAAUGAACUGAUAUACAAUUUACAGUCCUUAAUUAUUUCAGUUGAACAGCUUCAGGCUAGUUUUCUCUUAAAUCCAGAGAAAUAUGCUGAUGAACUUGCUACUCAGCCAAGGCAACUGCUUAACACACGCAGGGAACUCACCCCUAUGUAUGAAAGAUAUCUACAGCAUGAUGCACAGGAGGUAUUACAGUGUAUUUUGGGAAACAUUCAAGAAACAUGCCAACUCCUAAAAAACGAAGAAGUAAAAAAUGUGUCAGAAUUAUCUGCAAAGGUAGAAGAAAAUCCUCAUUAG